GGGGAUGUAAAGGUUUCGACGGGGGUUGGGAGCCCUGGUAAGCGAGUAGCGGUGCGGGACCGCUAUAAAAUCCGCAAACUUAAAAAAUAAACGACAACGAUACUGUUGCUGUUGCUGCUUAAUUAAGCAGCCGUUCUUACCCGCAGUACCGCGGGCGGGAUAAGAGCGUCGACUAGCGGUGAACGUGUGCAGGGCUACGCCUUUACCCCUGCCAUGCAUAAAAGGCUACCAAAGUGCAGAGCCUGCCGUUCGGCGCUGCACGGCGGGAAUUUCAAAAGACCGGAUACACUCGUAGAAAGCCUUGGUAACUGACUUUCGGACGCGGGUUCGACUCCCGCCAUCUCCACCA
rnacentral:tmRNA from 1 species